rnacentral:lncRNA from 1 species
AAAACUGAUAGUAAUAAUGAGAAAGUGAUCCAUGAAGAGUAAAGCCAACAAGGCCCGAUCUAAACAUGUGGAUAAUAUGAAAGCCAAUUGUGUUCAAACUGAACAAAUGAAACCAUAUCAAGAUAUAAACUGAACAACUGAAACCUGCUGCAAUACAAACUGAACCAAUGAAAUCAUAGCAAUACAAAGUGCCACAACACAAAUAUGCAAAACAAUUUGAACCAAGUAUCCCUUGUAGCUGUUACCAACAAGCCAUAACAAUACAAAGCUGCAGCCUGCAUGCCCUGUAUAUAGCAAUACAACACAAACUGAACCAUAGCAAUACAAAGUAAUAGAAACCACACAUACUUAAAUACACAAUGCUUAGAACGACAUUCACUUUUACGUAAAUACAAAAAUGGAAUCAUUUUGAAACUAUUCACCCGAGUUAAUAAAACAAUGUAUUACGAAAGUUUGUCAAAUAUACAUUCACUAGUAUAUUUGCCACAUUAACACAAACAACUUCAGCUUUAAAGAUGUUAUAAUAUUGUCUAACAUACAGUUACAAUUAUAAAAGUCCAUUACAUGAAAUUUACAGUACAUAAUGACACCAAAUAUAAGUGAUAUUCUGUCCAACAACCAUAGACAAUGUUCAGCACAACCACCAUAGACAAACUGAAAAAAAACAUGUUCAGCUGCACAACAAUAGGAAGCAUCACAGCCGCACAACAAUCACAACCAUAGACAAACUGAAACCAGCGAAACUAUGUUCAGCAGCACAACAACCAUAGACAAACUGAAACCAUAGAAAGCAUCAUAGUGACACCGUAGACUAUAAACCAUGCUGCAAACUAUAAAUAGACUGCAACACAAAAGCUAAAACCAUAGACUGAAAUAUACUCGAGCACAAACGAAAAGUGAGAGAAUGAAGCAAUGAACCUCUUAAAGAAAGAACAAAAACAGAUUACAACUAUGGAGUUGCUUAAACAAUAUAUGCAGUUUAAAGAUGAAACAAAAACGGAUAAGAAGAAAAAAACAAAGUAAAUCUCAGUACCCUUUCUCUUUCUCUGUCCCACUCUUCAUUUUCAAUCUAACAAUUAAUUAAUUCUCAAAUGGGAUUUGGUUUGUUUGGCCAUGUAGGAAAUAAGCGAAGAAGAAAUUCUAUUCAUGUUGAAGUUGUUCUGUUCAAGUUCUUGCUCAUUUUCAUCAGCCAGUUCUGUGGCUUAAAGUUCCAGUCUUUAUUAAACAAGUUUUCAGAAUUUUUAUCACAAUUUGCACUGCUCUCAAGAGAUAUCUUCAGGUAUAAAAUGAGUACUAGAAAUUGUUCAAGUAUAUUUUAAAUAUCUAUUUUUGUUUCAUAAAUUUGUUCAGCUCCAAAUGAUGUUAACCACAAAACUUUUUUCUCCCCAACUUACAUAAGAUAAUUGUUUGAUAAUCUUUUCAAUUUGGAUUCAUCAAAGAAAACUAAUUAUCGUAUAGAGAUUAAAAACCCUAUGAAAACCAAGUACCUAGAGAUUUAAAAAUCCUUUGAAAGAAGAUAAUCUACCAACCCCCAAUAAUUAAUUACAAGCAAAACUAUGACAAAUUUUACAAAUAAAAAAGGUACAAAUCAAACUGUCACAUGAAACUUCAGUUAUGUUUCUUGUUAAACAAAACUAUCCAAUUCCAUAAAUUUUACACAAAGCAACAGAAAAGUGGAGAAAUACAUAAACUACAGUACAAAACAAAAAUCAAACGAAAACCCAAAAUAAAAACAAGGUAUAUAUACAACAGUGGAUUAAUUUUCUCAUAUACCGAGCAAAAUAGUAAUGCCCAUAUAUGAGAAAACUAAUCUACUGGGUUGCUUAAAUUCAAAAAACUUACUGAUUAAAUAACAUAUUUACCGAUUAAAUGUUGAUUAGUUUGUUGUAGAACACAAAUUUUGGACGCACGAUAUCAAAUUUGAACAACUUGUUACCGAUCUGCACUCAAUUGCGAACUAGGGUUCAUUGGAAAAUCAUGGAAAAUCGCAGCAGCUUCAAAUUUGGGAGAUUAAAUAACAAACGUACCGUUUAAAUGCUAAUUAGCUGUGUUACUCGGACUCGUGUGCGGGUGUCGGGUGCGGGUACGAAUCUAGGUGUCGAACUCGUGAAGUCAAAAAAUAGAGGAUACGCGGAUAUAGAU